rnacentral:misc_RNA from 1 species
GUGAUUAAAUCGAGCGUGUCUUCAUUGACCGCUCACCCUUCUCACCAUCCACAUACACCUGUGCACUGUUUAGCCGGAGCCGGUUUUCCGGUCCAGGUUAUCAUUUCAUACAAACUCUAGUCUUAUGAAUGUAAACGUUUUAAUAACAUAAUA